UAAACAUGUCUGUGUCAUCCUACUUUGACAUAAUCUGUAUAAUAUAAUUUCUAAUCUAUUCUCUUUUAAAGACCAUCCUCUGAUGAUUCAUCUGACCCCUCAGUGCUGCUCUAUCAACUCUGGACAACUUUGCUGAGCAGUGAGACAGAGAUGGACUUCACCAGCUUACUUGGCCUCUGUGGAAAUGAGUUGCACCUUCCAGUCCAGGGUGAAAAACGAGUGUUUGAGAGAGCAGAAGAAGUGAUGAAACAGAGUCUAGAGAAGUUUCAUCUCUGUCUACACUGGGAUCAGAGAACUGUUCUCAGUGAAGCUCUCAGCAAGACCAUUUUAAAUUGUCUACCUAAUAUCACCAAACUCAGGUUUACCCCUCUACAACAUCAAAGAGGAUCCCCUGAAAAACUGGAGACAGACGACAAAGCAGUCCUACUAGAUUUGUGUCUACAAGCAGCACUAGAUCACAGAGAAACAUUCCAGAGAACUGUGAAUACAUUGCUGUCACUGUUCUCUGUGUAUCAAACUGAGAGAUAUGACAUCCUGCUGGAUCUGUACUCUCAUGUGAAGGACUAUGAGACUCAAACAGGCAGGAGAGUCCUUCCAGCAUUACAGCCAGUUUACCAGUCAGCUCCUGCAGUCUGGUCCAUAGACCUCUCAGAGGGAAAGACCUCCCUCCUCCUAGAAGUGCUGAAACUCCAACCAGAGAAGAAACCAGUAGAGCUGAAAGACUGGUCAGACGAAGAGAGUGAAGUGAGGAGAUUCCUUCAGUGUCUGCCCUACAUCUCCCAGCUGAGGUGAGUUGGAUCAGUACAGUUCAGAUAUUGUAGUUGUCUUAUAGAGGAAGCCUGUAGAUUUCUGCAGUAACUUAACAAACUAAACAGAAACAUACUGUUUGGAAAAUAUGCAAUCUUUGCGGUCAGGAUUUUAAAGAACAAUUGAAGUGAAUGAUGAGAUUAGAAAGAUAGUCAUUGUAUUUUACCCACCAUAAUAUCACCAUCAGAAAUGCAUAUCAUAUCUCUCACAUAUUCAUCUAUUUGUUGUUAAACUGUCCUUGGAGUUUUACUCCACCACAGGGUCAGAGAAGAUCCCCUGAAGACAAGGAGAGAGAAGACAUUCCUACUGAAUCUGUGUCUUCAAGCAGCUCUCCUUGAGAGAGGAACCAUACAAACAACUGUAGAGAAAGUGUUGUCACUGUCUGAAGUAUAUCACAUUCAGAAAUGUGAUUUCCUGCUGGAUCUGUACUCACAUGUGAAGGACUAUGAGACUCAAACAGGCAGGAGAGUCCUUCCAGCAUUACAGCCAGUUUACCAGUCAGCCAGUCCUGCAGUCUGGUACAUAGACCUCUCAGAGAGAAAGGCCUCCCUCCUCCUAGAAGUGCUGAAACUCCAACCAGAGAAUCACACAGUGUCAGAUUGUCUGGAUCAGCUGUUACUGUCCUUGUUGCAGCUUUAAUCCGUGGUGGCCUGAUCCCUCAAAGCAGAUCAAGUUCCUGGUGGAUCUCCUGUCUCAAGCAGCAGAGUGGGAGGAGCAGACAGGAGAGAAGACACUGAAGCUGGUAUCAUCAGUGUGGACUUACAGCACCUUUCCUUUUCUCAGUGGAGACACUUCUAAACAGAGUGAUUUCCUGUUGGAUCUGUACUCACAUGUGCUGGACUAUGAGACUCAAACAGGCAGGAGUGUCCUUCCAGCAUUACAGCCAGUUUACCAGUCAGCUCCUGCAGUCUGGUCCAUAGACCUCUCAGAGAGAAAGGCCUCCCUCCUCCUAGAAGUGCUGAAACUCCAACCAGAGAAGAAACCAGUAGUCCUGAAGGUUUGUUCAGAUGAAGAGAGUGAAGUGAGGAGUUUCCUUCAGUGUCUGGCCUACAUCUCACAGCUGAGGUGAGUCUGAACAUGUGUAGUGGUUAGUGAUUAUGUCAUGCUAGUGGUUAUUAUCUUCUAGAAACAUUUGACAUAUUAAACUUCAAGUGUUGGUAAAUCUUGUAGCAGUAUUGUUAGAGAGGGGUAAAGGUAGAGAUUUUGUUGGGACGCCAGGCAGGUAUUAACCCUGUAGAAAGGAAAAGAGUAGGAGAGAGAGAGACCCACUACCAGACAAACACACAUCAGCAGAAGAGACUGUCUAGAGUGUAGCCUGUUAGCCAGAUAGCCAGUGGAGAGAAAAUAUAAGACACACCAUAUAAAACACCCAUCACAGCACAGGGGGAACCCCACCAAUAAUACCUCAUACAAUAAUGAUGGCAGAGCAAUUUAACGGCAACUUCAUAGAAACAAUUUACAAGAAAGAACCCAGUCAUCAACAUGAGAGGAUUUGCAGUAAUCUGUAUUACCUCCCAGUGGAGGAGUGCAGAGGGUAUGAAUGGUGGGGGGUCAUAGACAGACAAAGGCCUUAAAAUGUCCAAAAUCUUCUGGGCCACAUGUCAUUAGUACCAUAUAUAUAUAUACAGUUCAAAUAACAAGACACAAUAAACUGUCAAGAAACCUCCCUUUAACUAAAAUGUCAACCCAAAUACGUCUGGCAGGGCAAUGAUAGUCCAGCCACGCUGAACCUCAAAGGGAAGAGCAUUGAAAACAAUGAUAAAGUCUGCUGCUGUUUAAAGCACUGGAGAGAGAGAGAGAGAGAGAGGAGAGAGAGGGGGGAGAGAGAGAGAGAGAGGGAUGAGAGAGAGAGGCAUGAGAGAGAGGGAAGAGAGUGAGAGGGGGAGAGAGAGACAGGAGAGAGAAGUGAGAGAGAAUGAGGAGAGAGAGAGAGGGAAAAGAGAGAAGAGAGAGAGGAGAGGGAAGAGAGAGGAGGGAGAGGGAAGAGAGAGGAGGGAGAGGGAAGGGAGAGGGAAUAGAGAGAGGGAAGAGAGAGAAGAAAGAGGGGAGAGAGAGCUAAGAGAGUGAGGGAAGGAGGAGAGAGAGGGAGAGAGGGCGGGGGUAGAGUGGGAAGACGAGGGGGGAGAUACAAGGAGAGAGAGAGAGAAUGAGGGAGAGAGCUAAGAGAGAGUGAGGGAUGGAAGAGAGAGGGGAAAAGGGUAGAGAGAGUGGGGGAGAGGAGAGAGAGAGGGCGAGGGGGAGAGUGGAAAGAGGAGGGGGGAGAGAAAAGGAAAGAGAGAGAGAGGAUAUAGAGAGGUAAGAGAGAGAGAGAGAGAGGUUAGAGAGGGAUGAGGGGGUAAGAGGGAGGAGAGAGAGAGAGGGAAGGGAGAGAGAGGUAGGGAAUAGAGGAGAUCGUAGAGAGAGAAGAGAGGUGGGGAAGCGAGGACGAGAGGGAGAGGGAAUAGGGAAGAGGGAAGAGAGGGGGAGAGAGUGAAGAGAGAGAGAGGGGGAAGAGUUAGAGAGGGGGGAGAGAGGGAAUAGAGGGAAGAGAGAGAGAGAGAAGAGAGAGAGACACUAAGGGAAAAUAAACCAGAGUUGUGCAGCAUCACACACUAUCAAUCUGCCCCCCCAGAGAGUCUCCUUUCUGACUGCUGAUGCAAAGUGGCAGCACACGGUGAAGGCUCCGUAUAAAACUACACAUGUUGGUGAAUCUGGGAACAUUUAUCAGCCCAUUUCCUGACAUAACUAAUGUUGCAUUCCUAAAUGUCACAGGUAAAUAAUGUGAAUAUCUUUCAAAUUAAAUACUUUGACAAAUAACCAAAGCACAUUAUUAGGGGCAGAAAGCAGUAGUAGUUAGAGUGUCAACCCACUGUUCCUAGGCCGUCAUUGAAAAUAAGAAUUUGUUCUAGUUAAAUGAAGGUAAAAUAUGUAUAUUUUUAAGUUGUAUAACUACUUCAUAUCUUUAACUAUGACUGUUUUCAUGUGUUCAUCCACUUCUGAAUCAGCUGUUACUGUCCUUGUUGCAGUUUCCAUCCAUGGUGGUCUGAUCCCUCAAAGCAGAUCAAGUUCCUGGUGGAUCUCCUGUCUCAAGCAGCUGAGUGGGAGGAGCAGACAGGAGAGAAGACACUGAAGCUGGUAUCAUCAGUGUGUACUUACAGCACCUUUCCUUAUUGCCAUGGAGACAAUUCUAAACAGAGUGAUUUCCUGUUGGAUCUGUACUCACAUGUGAAGGACUCUGAGACUCAAACAGGCAGGAGUGUCCUUCCAGCAUUACAGCCAGUUUACCAGUCAGCCAGUCCUGCAGUCUGGUACAUAGACCUCUCAGAGAGAAAGGCCUCCCUCCUCCUAGAAGUGCUGAAACUCCAACCAGAGAAGAAAGCAGUAGAGCUGAAGGGCUGGUCAGAUGAAGAGUGUGAAGUGAGGAGUUUCCUUCGGUGUCUGUCCUACAUCUCACAGCUGAGGUGAGUCUGAACAUGUGUGGUGGUUAUGUGAUGCCAGUAACAUUUAUACCAAGA
rnacentral:lncRNA from 1 species